GAUGAAGAACGUAGCGAAAUGCGAUAAGUAAUGUGAAUUGCAGAAUUCAGUGAAUCAUCGAAUCUUUGAACGCACAUUGCGCCCUCUGGUAUUCCGGGGGGCAUGCCUGUUUGAGCGUCAUUAUAACCACUCAAGCUCUCGCUUGGUAUUGGGGUUCGCGGUUUCGCGGCCCCUAAAAUCAGUGGCGGUGCCUGUCGGCUCUACGCGUAGUAAUACUCCUCGCGAUUGAGUCCGGUAGGUCUACUUGCCAGCAACCCCUAAUUUUUUUAAGGUUGACCUCGGAUCAGGUAGGGAUACCCGCUGAACUUAAGCAUAUCAAUAAGCGGAGGA
rnacentral:misc_RNA from 1 species